UACGUAGGGGGCAAGCGUUGUCCGGAAUUAUUGGGCGUAAAGCGUGCGCAGGCGGUGAUGUAAGACAGUUGUGAAAUCCCCGGGCUCAACCUGGGAAUUGCAUUUGAGACUGCGUAGCUAGGGUGCGGAAGAGGGAAGCGGAAUUUCCGGUGUAGCGGUGAAAUGCGCAGAUAUCAGGAAGAACACCCGUGGCGAAGGCGGUUCUCUGGGACGGUACUGACGCUGAGACGCGAAAGCGUGGGGAGCGAACAGG
rnacentral:rRNA from 1 species